GUUGUAUAGUCAAGUAAUUAAGUGCAUGUGGUGGAUGCCUUGGCAGUCAGAGGCGAUGAAAGACGUGAUAGCCUGCGAAAAGCUCCGGGGAGGCGGCAAAUAUCCUUUGAUCCGGAGAUGUCUGAAUGGGGGAACCCACCUACUUUAAGGUAGGUAUUGCAACAUGAAUACAUAGUGUUGCAAGGCGAACGAGGGGAAGUGAAACAUCUCAGUACCCUUAGGAAAAGAAAUCAAUUGAGAUUCCCUCAGUAGCGGCGAGCGAA
rnacentral:rRNA from 1 species